CCUCUGCAGGGUCUGCUGCUCUCUUCUCUCUCAGUUGGAUCCUUCUGUCUGCUCCUCUGGUGCGUGGCCCCACGUGGCCACCGGCAGCAUCUCAUCGUGCCCUCUCAGCUAACCCCCCGCCUCAGUUCCUCUGAGGGCCGAGAUGUGCCUCUCUGCUGAGGAUCCCGUGUUACCAGCAACUCUAGGAUGUAGGCAUGGGCUAGCCUGAUGGAGAACGAGACACACGUAAAGCAGAGACAAGUCACCGAGUCACCCCAGCCAUCAGCCAGCUCAUCCCAGACACAGGAGCGGGCCCAGCCGAAGCCUGCAAAGCUAUGAGACCUGUGACCUCCCAGCUGACUCCAGAUGCAUGAGAAAUAAAUGCUCAUCGUU
rnacentral:lncRNA from 1 species